CACGGACUUCGGUCUGGUGGCGAGUGGCGAACGGGUGAGUAACAUAUCGGAACGUAUCCAAUAAUGGGGGAUAACUAAUCGAAAGGUUGGCUAAUACCGCAUACGCCCUACGGGGGAAAGCAGGGGAUCUUCGGACCUUGCGUUAAUGGAGCGGCUGAUAUCUGAUUAGCUAGUUGGUGAGGUAAAGGCUCACCAAGGCGACGAUCAGUAGCUGGUCUGAGAGGACGACCAGCCACACUGGAACUGAGACACGGUCCAGACUCCUACGGGAGGCAGCAGUGGGGAAUUUUGGACAAUGGGCGAAAGCCUGAUCCAGCCAUUCCGCGUGAGUGAAGAAGGCCUUCGGGUUGUAAAGCUCUUUCGCAAGGGAAGAAAACUUACUUUCUAAUAAAGAGUGAGGUUGACGGUACCUUGAUAAGAAGCACCGGCUAACUACGUGCCAGCAGCCGCGGUAAUACGUAGGGUGCGAGCGUUAAUCGGAAUUACUGGGCGUAAAGCGUGCGCAGGCGGCCUUAAAAGUCAGAUGUGAAAUCCCCGAGCUCAACUUGGGAACUGCGUUUGAAACUCUAAGGCUAGAAUAUGUCAGAGGGGGGUAGAAUUCCACGUGUAGCAGUGAAAUGCGUAGAGAUGUGGAGGAAUACCAAUGGCGAAGGCAGCCCCCUGGGAUAAUAUUGACGCUCAUGCACGAAAGCGUGGGGAGCAAACAGGAUUAGAUACCCUGGUAGUCCACGCCCUAAACGAUGUCUACUAGUUGUUGGUGGAGUAAAAUCCAUGAGUAACGCAGCUAACGCGUGAAGUAGACCGCCUGGGGAGUACGGUCGCAAGAUUAAAACUCAAAUGAAUUGACGGGGGCCCGCACAAGCGGUGGAUUAUGUGGAUUAAUUCGAUGCAACGCGAAAAACCUUACCUGGCUUGACAUGUA
rnacentral:rRNA from 1 species